rnacentral:lncRNA from 1 species
GUUUUGCCAUGUUGCCCAGGCUGGUCUGGAACUCCUGACCUCAGGUGAUCCACCUGCCUCAGCCUCCCAAAGUGAUGGGAUUACAGGCAUGAUCCACCUCACCCGGCCUUCAGUUUCCUUUUUUUCUAAUAGUAAGAUACAAAUUUGGGGGAAAUGUUUUUACUUUCUCAGUUUUGUGUAUCAUAAAUCUAUAAGGGCUUAUAAUAAUGGACAUAACACCUAUCAUCAUGGUUAGAGUUUGGAAUCAAAUUUGUGGAAACGGCUGGGCGUAGUGGCUCAUGCCUGUAAUCCCAGCACUUUGGGAAGCUGAGGCGGGUGGAUCACCUGAGGCCAGGAGUUCGAGGCCAGCCUGGCCAACAUAGUGAAACCCCAUCUCUACUAAAAAUACAAAAAUUAGCGGGGCAUGGUCGUGGGCGCCUGUAAUCCCAGCCACUCGGGAGGCUGAGGCAGGAGAAUCGCUUGAACCCAGGAGGUGGAGGUUGCAGUGAGCCGAGGCUGUGCCACUGCACUCCAGCCUGGGCAACAGAGUGAGACUCUGUCUCAAAAAAAAAAAAAAAAAAAAAAUUCUGGAAACUAGAAUUUUCUACUUAAUCACCUGUGGGACGUUCUCUGCUGCUGCCAUCUUGUGGCCACUUGGAGUAAUAACAUUCACAGUGUGCCUUUGGUCAGUCCAGUGACUCACCAGAUGAUGUAGGAAGGUCCUCUGGAUUCUGUGUAAAUAUUUCCGAUGACAGGUUUCCAAUUAUUCUACAAGACAGGCUAUACCUAUGGUGUAAAGCUUUGCUUAUUAGAAAGUUCUUUCUGAAACUGAGUCAAAUUCUGCUUUUAUUCCAUUUCUAUACAAUUCUUUUUCUACUUUCUAAUUUUUUUUGGGGGGGGGUGGGGACAGGAUCUUGGUCUGUUGCCUAGGCUGGAGUGCAAUGGCGUGAUCAUAGUUCACUGCAGCUUCAAACUCCUGGGCUAGCUCCUAGCUAGCCUCUCAAGUAGUUAGGACCAUGGGUGUGUGCCACCACGCCUGGCUAAUUUAUUAUUAUUAUUAUUAUUUUUGAGACAGAGUCUCACUCUGUCACCCAGGCUAGAGUACAGUGGCACAAUAUUGGCUCACUGCAACCUCCAGCUCCCAGGUUCAAGUGAUUCUCCUGUCUCAGCUUCCCAAGCAGCUGCGAUUACAAGCGUGCACCAACACGCUGGCUAAUUUUCGUAUUUUUAGUAGAGAUGAGGUUUCGCCAUGUUGCCCAGGCUAUUCUUGAACUCCUGACCUUAAGUAAUCCAUCUGCCUCAGUCUUCCAAAGUGCUGGGAUUGCAGAUGUAAGCCACCAUACCUGUCCUGCCUGGCUGAUUUUUAAAAUUAUUUUUUGUAGAGAGAGGGUCUAGCUAUGUUGCCCAAACUGGUCUUAAACUCCUGGGCUCAAGCAAUCCUCCUGCCUUGGUCUCCCAAAGUGUUGGGAUUACUGGUGUGAGCCACUGCACCCAGCCCUCUAAUUCUAAAAAAAAAAAAAAAAUUGAAGGCAGCUGCUUAUCAUAUUUCCCUAAAUCUUUUUUCCUAAAUAUUUUAGCUUCUUUAUCUCUCCCUGAAUGAUUCCCAGAGCCUUCAUUCAUCAUCCAGGAUCUGAGACAGGGAUGCUGGUGCAAGUGAUUUACUGGGGAGUGGCCACAGGGGAAACCUGUAGGGAAGCCAGGGAAACAGGAUGGGCAAGAGGGCGGAGCUAAGCAAGGAUGCAGUUUAGCCAGAGACCAGCCCAGCCUGAUGCCACGGGGAGCUCUGGAUCCUGAGUGGUGCUACAGAGUGAGUCUCACCUUGAGGCAAGGGGUUCAGUCUUGUAUACUGUGACACUCAGUCAUUGGCUCUGGGGGUGAGGGGUGUUCGAGGAAACCUUCCUGAGUGAAGUGGUUCCCAUUUGGGCAAGGGCAGUUCUCAGGAGGGUUAGCAGCUGACGCUCAACAGCAUGUGGGAAAUGGGUGACCAGGAAAGAGGAUCUGUAUACCUUCUGCUCAUAUCUCAUCUCAGUCAUUAUAGUCAGACCAGGACCCAAAUAUCCCAGGUGUAGUCUGAAGUGUAGUAUUCAAGGAAUCCAGGCCGAGCACAGUGGCUCAUGCUUAUAAUCCCAGCACUUUGGGAGGCCGAGGCAGGCAGAUCCCUUGAGCCUGGGAAGUCAAGGCUGCAGUGAGCCAAGAUCGGGCCACUGCACUCCAGCCUGGGUAACAGAGUGAGACCCUGUCUGGAAAAAAAAACAAAAAAGAGUUCAAGAGAUUCAUUAUAUCCCAUUCUCCUUAGUCCUGUAUUAACAGUCCAGGCUUACAUUUGGGUUGUCUGAUCGAAACCCCAAGAUAUUUUUCACAUAAAAUUGCUCCCAGGCCAAGUGUCUUCCAUCAAUGCCUAUGGCAUGGUGAUACCAAAAGCAAAAGCAGGUAAAAUUGUAUUCCUUUAAAUUUUCCUCUUGUCAGUUUGGACUCACAUUCUAGCUAACUGAGCCCUCAUUGAAUCUGGAUUCUAUCAUCUAAUCCAGGACUCUACGCUCUGUCUUCUGCAGACUUGAUCCGUGUGUCUCUUUGGUAACUUUCAACUCCCUUGUCUGUUCAUUACCUUUGGGCUGGUCAUCUCUGUUUGUUUGUUUGUUUGUUUGUUUGUUUUUUAAGAUGGAGCCUCGUUCUCUUGCCUAGGCUGGAGUGCAGUGACACAAUCUCAGCUCACUGCAACCUCCGCCUUCCAGGUUCAAGCAAUUCUCCUGCCUCAGCCUUCUGAGCAGCUGGGACUACAGGUGCAUGCCACCACAUCUGGCUAAUUUUUGUAUUUUUAGUAGGGAUGGUGUUUCACCAUGUUGGCCAGGCUGGUCUCGAACUCCUGACCUCAGGUGAUCCACCUGCCUUGGCCUCCCAAAAUGUUAGGAUUCCAGGUGUGAGCCACAGCGCCCAGCCAGGGCUGGUCAUCUCUUAAUAUCUGGCUGUCACUGCCCCUGCCUGAUGAUAUCUGUUCUGUUGCUGUCCGCAGAACAGCACUACAGAGGGAACUUUGGUUGAAAAUGGCCAGCAGCAAGCCUGAGGCCAGGGCCAUAGAAAGAGAGCCAUGUUUAUUUCAGAAACAUGAGUCUGAAAUAAGUAGACAGCCCGGAACCUAGGUGGUUAAGUAGUUAAUGUUAUGUGACCAAUAUAGAAAACUUGAGACUAUCAGCUCAGUAGCCCUGAGCCUUCUCAUAACUUGACAGGUUCUGGGAAGGUAUCUGAAAAUAAUUUAAGAAAUGUAUUCUGGCCAGACGCGGUGGCUCACGCCUGUAAUCGCAGCACUUUGGGAGACUGAGGCGGAUGGAUCACCUGAAGUCAGGAGUUUGAGACCAGCCUGGCCAACAUAAUGAAAC